rnacentral:tRNA from 1 species
AGGGGAUUAGUUUAAUGGUAAAAUAGGAGUCUCCAAAACUUUAGAUGGGAGUUCGAUUCUCUCAUCCCCUG